rnacentral:rRNA from 1 species
CCUACGGGAGGCAGCAGUGGGGAAUAUUGGGCAAUGGGCGAAAGCCUGACCCAGCAACGCCGCGUGAAGGAAGAAGGUUUUCGGAUUGUAAACUUCUGUCCUCAGGGAAGAAACAAAUGACGGUACCUGAGGAGGAAGCCCCGGCUAACUACGUGCCAGCAGCCGCGGUAAU